ACAACACACGUUUUCAUAUUGUUAGUUUUUUUAUAAUAAAAUACGUAAAGGCUACACACGUGUUUUUCAGUAUAAAUAGCUGAAAUUAGCUGAUUUCUCAAUUAGUCGCAAUAAGGCAACUUAGUCGACAUGUCUGCUUUGGAUGCGUCACUGAACACCAAAGGGAAAGUUAAGUUCAAGUUAUUCACUCGAAACUAACUUACUACUGAAGUAUACCGACCGAUCCAACACAAAGAUCUUCAAGAAGAAGUUCUGGUAUCAUGGUCAGCUCAUCGUGAACUGACGGCAUAUUGGUGCGAACCUUCGGGUGGGCUGGCGGUCUACUAGACAAGUCUAAUAGACUUGUGGUCUUCUGGCGUGGACCCUUUGGCCAAAGGCCUUUUGAAGUGGUCUUUACACCAAUGUAUGGACCAACGGUCUUUUAGAGCCUGUCUUUUAAAUCAAUGGUCUUUUGAACCUGUGGUCUUCUGGCGAGGUCUUUUUGACAAAUGGCCUUUUGAAGUGGUCUUUACACCAAUAGACCAAUGGUAUUUUGAUCCUAUGGUAUUUUAUAUGUCUACUUGGACUGUAUCAGCCGUUAGCACCAUAACCACGAAUAUACACGUUUUAUAUUCCCUCCUUUACUAAAAGACUUAAUUAAAAGAAAUUAAAAAAUAUACAACAUGUAAUCGUCAAUUAACACAUUAAACGCCAUGGGGGGAAAAGUGACCGGCGUUAGUGAAGGAUUUGCCUUCAACAGAUUUUUGUUGGCAGUCAAAGUCUUAAUAAAUGAAAGUACGAUUAUUUUGGGUUUUUUAUAUAUUAUUAACUAGGACUGGACGGGGCCUAGAAAAGUACUAGAUUUUCAAAAUUAUGAAGGAUGAAGAUUUGGAGCGAAUUUUAGGUAAUAAAAGAUCUGCAAUUGAAGAAUAGAUUAGUCAUGUAGACAGUUGAGAUUUAAUGUAUUGAAAUGUGAUGUUUUUGUAUUUAAAGAAUAAUGGAAAAUAAAUAAAUUUUUAUUAUUAGAA